rnacentral:rRNA from 1 species
AUGAUACCUAAUCCAACUCGGAACACGGCAAUUAUAAGUCGCAACGAAGCAAUCUACCCUGAAAUCACAACUCGAUCGACUUCAAGGUUCAAGUUGCCGCCGUCGCGUCGCGUCGCGUCGGUCGAUCGACAACCAUUAGCGAUGGGACAACGUCGGCGGCUGCUGGAGCCUGAUGACGGCGCCGGCGGCGAGAUCCCUAGCGAGUUGCUGCAGGAGAUCCUGGUGAAGCUGCCGACGAAGGACGUCGCCCGGUCCCGCUGCGUCUCUAGGCUGUGGCGCGGCGUCGUCAGCGACCCCUCCUUCCGCAGCCUCCACGCCGCCACCCACGUCGCGCCCGCGGCGGAGGUCCUGCUCGUCUCCGAGACGCGCGAGCCUGACGAGGCCAGCUUCUUCCUCACGUCCUCCGGCAAGGCCAGGGCCAUGCGCUCCGUCGCCAUCCCCAGCGGCUACGGCCUCACCAACGUCUGCAACGGCCUCCUCUGCUUCGUCCACCGCCACAAUGCCGACGCGCCGGCGGUGGUGUGCAACCCCGUCACCGGCGAGAAGCUGGCGCUCCCGGAGGCGCCUCCGCUCGCCGCCGAGGGCAAGACGCAGCACCUCUUCGCCCUGGGGUUCACUCCGCCCACCAACGAGUACAAGCUGUUCAGGCUCUCGUCCACGGUCGUCGACGUGUACACCCUGGGCGACGCCGGAGGUUGGCGCCGGCACACGGACCUCUCGCUGCCGCAUCCAACCAAGAUCACGGCCUGGGCGCCACGGCUGAUCGGCGGCAAGCUGUACCUGCUCACGACCGGCUGGAACCGAGUACUGGUGGUCGACGUGGCUACGGAGACGUGCCGAGCGCACCGUCUCCCGGCGCAGAUGAUCAUCGCCUAUGAUGAGCGUAUACCGCGGGUGGGCGCCUUCGAGCUGGACGGCCGGCUGUGCUUCGCGCUGCACACCGACAGCACGCCCACAGCCCUCCAGUUUUGGGUCAUGUCGCCGCCGGAGGACGGGAAGCAGCUGCGGUGGGAUCGGCACUGCUGCUUUGAGAUCAACGAGGCUAACAACCACUUGGGGCCUUGGAGCGCAUGGGUCGACGGUGGCGAGAUGCUCUGCUACAUGCACGGCGACACUCUGCACAUGUAUGGCACGAGAGGACGCUCGCCGCCGCCAAUUCUCGGCGACGUUCAAGGGUUGCAGUGGGAUCAGCGGAUCCACAUCUCGGAGUUCCCAUUAUGGUGGGAAACCUCGAAAUGUCAAUGGAACUUCCACGGGGGCUACCGUCCCACCCUUCUCUCGCCUCUCGUCUUUGCAUUGCCACCUUCCCAAGACGAUGUGCAAAAGAAAGAAAGCAAAGCAAUAUAA